AUUGAACGCUGGCGGCAGGCCUAACACAUGCAAGUCGAACGAGUGGCGGACGGGUGAGUAAUGUCUGGGCAACUGUCUGAUGGAGGGGGAUAACUACUGGAAACGGUAGCUGAUACCGCAUACCAUCGGAUGUGCCCAGAUGGGAUUAGCUAGUAGGUGGGGUAACGGCGCACCUAGGCGACGAUCCCUAGCUGGUCUGAGAGGAUGACCAGCCACACUGGAAAUGAGACACGGUCCAGAGUCCUACGGGAGGCAGCAGUGGGGAAUAUUGCACAAUGGGCGCAAGCCUGAUGCAGCCAUGCCGCGUGUAUGAAGAAGGCCUUCGGGUUGUAAAGUACUUUCAGCGGGGAGGCGUUACCCGCAGAAGAAGCACCGGCUAACGCCGUGCCAGCAGCCGCGGUAAUUC
rnacentral:rRNA from 1 species